rnacentral:tRNA from 1 species
UGUUUUGUGGCCUAGUUGGUUAAAGCACCAGACUACUGAUUCGGAGUCGUAGGUUCGAAUCCCACCAACACAA